rnacentral:pre_miRNA from 1 species
UUUGGCACUAGCACAUUUUUGCUUGUCUCUCUCUGCUCUGAGCAAUCAUGUGCAGUGCCAAUAU